rnacentral:rRNA from 1 species
GACGUAGGGUCCAAGCGUUGUCCGGAUUUACUGGGCGUAAAGAGCGCGUAGGCGGCUCGUUAAGUGUGAAGUGAAAUCUCCAGGGCUCAACCCGGAAACUGCUUCGCAUACUGGCGAGCUGGAGUGAUGCAGAGGUUUGUGGAAUUCCUGGUGUAACGGUGAAAUGUGUUGAUAUCAGGAGGAACACCCAUGGCGAAGGCAGCAAACUGGGCAUCAACUGACGCUGAGGCGCGAAAGCGUGGGUAGCAAACAGG